rnacentral:rRNA from 1 species
CCUACGGGAGGCAGCAGUGGGGAAUCUUGCGCAAUGGGCGAAAGCCUGACGCAGCCAUGCCGCGUGAAUGAUGAAGGUCUUAGGAUUGUAAAAUUCUUUCACCGGGGACGAUAAUGACGGUACCCGGAGAAGAAGCCCCGGCUAACUUCGUGCCAGCAGCCGCGGUAAUACGAAGGGGGCUAGCGUUGCUCGGAAUUACUGGGCGUAAAGGGAGCGUAGGCGGAUAGUUUAGUCAGAGGUGAAAGCCCAGGGCUCAACCUUGGAAUUGCCUUUGAUACUGGCUAUCUUGAGUAUGGGAGAGGUAUGCGGAACUCCGAGUGUAGAGGUGAAAUUCGUAGAUAUUCGGAAGAACACCAGUGGCGAAGGCGGCAUACUGGCCCAUUACUGACGCUGAGGCUCGAAAGCGUGGGGAGCAAACAGGAUUAGAUACCCUGGUAGUCCACGCUGUAAACGAUGAGUGCUAGUUGUCGGCGAUGCAUGCAUGUCGGUUGGUACGCGAGCUAACGACAUUAAGACGACUCCGCCGUCGGGGAGGUACGGUCGCGAAGUAAGUUAAACGUUAACGAAAGUAAAGUUAGUUACGGCGUUGAGACGUGCCGACGGACGACGACGAGGGAGGAGG